rnacentral:rRNA from 1 species
AGCGAAUAGAUACCCCGGUAGUCCUGGCCCUAAACGAUGUCCACUAGAUCGUGGCGGUUCUAACGCCGUCAUGGUCGAAAGCAAAAAAAGUGCUAAGUGGACCGCCUGGGAAGUACGGUCGCAAGGCUAAAAACUCAAAGGAAUUGACGGGGGCUCACACAAGCGGUGGAGCAUGUGGUUCAAUUCGAAGCAACGCGCAGAACCUUACCUGGGCUUGACAUGCCAGGAUUAUCCCUAUGAAAGUAGGGUAGGCCCUUCGGGGUACAACUGGUACAGGUGCUGCAUGGCUGUCGUCAGCUCGUGUCGUGAGAUGUCGGGUUAAGUCCCUUAACGAGCGAAACCUUUGCCCUUAGUUACCAGCGGGUUAUGCCGGGGACUCUAAGGGGACUGCCGGUGUCAAACCGGAGGAAGGUGGAGAUGACGUCAAGUCCUCAUGGCCUUUAUGCCCAGGGCCACACACGUGCUACAAUGCGGCGCACAGAGCGAACCGAGAGCGCAAGCUGGAGGAAAUCGCACAAAUCG